AAUCACAAGGAUGGGGGUUCUUCAGUGUGCUCAUGGGAUGCUCCCAUCUGCCCUGGCUUCUGCAGAGCAGCUCUAGCUUAGGGACAUUUUCUACCAGUGCCACAUACUUUCCCUUCUGUAUAAAAUGGUCAGAGGGAUCAGCCCUUAGGACUCCCUAAUGCCUCAGUGAUAGAAACCCACCCUCCAAAAUUGCGCCCUCACCACUUUGAGAAUGUUGCGUUUAGAGAACAAUUGUCUUCACGUGUUCAACAUUGUCCUGUUAUUUAUGAGGUUUUCAACCACCUGGAAGCCAGGCAAAUACUGACCCAAGCUCGGAACUGUGCGCUGACCCAAGGACAAAAGAAGAAUUGGGACAAUAACACAGAUCAGGAAAAGCGAAUAGACAAGGAGAAUCUUAAGUUUCUGGGGGUCAAGAAUCCGGUGCUGCUUUUCUGGGUCCUCGGUUUAGGCUUUCUCAUGAGGCUGCCAUCAAGGUGUCAGCAGAGCUGCAGUCAUCUCCAGGCCCAACUGGAAAUGGAUGCAUUUCCAAGUUCACACACAUGGCUGCUGGCCAGAAGCUUCCCACAGUUCCUUGCUCCUGGCGCCUCCACAGGGCAGCUCACAACAUGGACACUUGCUUCCCCAGAGCAAGCCCAGUGAGGAGAGCCAGAGAGAGAGAGUA
rnacentral:lncRNA from 1 species